AGUGAACGCUGGCGGCAGGCCUAACACAUGCAAGUCGAGCGGCAGCGGGUCCUUCGGGAUGCCGGCGAGCGGCGGACGGGUGAGGAAUGCGUCGGAAUCUGCCUUUUUGUGGGGGAUAACGUAGGGAAACUUACGCUAAUACCGCAUACGACCUACGGGUGAAAGUGGGGGACCGCAAGGCCUCACGCAGAAAGAGGAGCCGACGCCGGAUUAGCUAGUUGGCGGGGUAAAGGCCCACCAAGGCGACGAUCCGUAGCUGGUCUGAGAGGAUGAUCAGCCACACUGGAACUGAGACACGGUCCAGACUCCUACGGGAGGCAGCAGUGGGGAAUAUUGGACAAUGGGCGCAAGCCUGAUCCAGCCAUGCCGCGUGUGUGAAGAAGGCCUUCGGGUUGUAAAGCACUUUUGUCCGGAAAGAAAUCCAAUCGAUUAAUACUCGGUUGGGAUGACGGUACCGGAAGAAUAAGCACCGGCUAACUUCGUGCCAGCCGCCGCAGUAACAC
rnacentral:rRNA from 1 species